rnacentral:rRNA from 1 species
AUACGGGGGGUGCAAGCGUUACUCGGAAUUACUGGGCGUAAAGGACGCGUAGGCGGUUUUUAAAGUCAGAUGUGAAAGCCUAUGGCUUAACCAUAGAACUGCAUUUGAAACUUCUAAACUAGAGUGAGGGAGAGGUCAGUGGAAUUAGUGGUGUAGGGGUAAAAUCCGUAGAGAUCACUAGGAAUACUCAUAGCGAAGGCGACUGACUGGAACUUUACUGACGCUGAGGCGUGAAAGCGUGGGGAGCAAACAGGAUUAGAAACCCCAGUAGUCC